rnacentral:rRNA from 1 species
AUGGUCAGGGGAAGCACGCCGGCGGCGUCAGGUCCAUGGCCCCUUGCGAAGCUCAGCCUCCGGUUCUCGAUCCCUGCCGUGACCACCAUGGUCACCACCUGGAGCAGCAUCCCGGCCCCGAUCCGCUGCAGCAGCGUGAUCCCCCUCGGGUUCUUGGUGCGCCUCCGGACGGCGGGCACGAAGACGCGGUCGUAG